rnacentral:piRNA from 1 species
GAGACAACUAACCCCUGGAAGCUCUCA